GUAGGUGGCAAGCGUUGUCCGGAAUUAUUGGGCGUAAAGCGCGCGCAGGCGGUCCUUUAAGUCUGAUGUGAAAGCCCACGGCUCAACCGUGGAGGGUCAUUGGAAACUGGGGGACUUGAGUACAGAAGAGGAAAGCGGAAUUCCAAGUGUAGCGGUGAAAUGCGUAGAGAUUUGGAGGAACACCAGUGGCGAAGGCGGCUUUCUGGUCUGUAACUGACGCUGAGGCGCGAAAGCGUGGGGAGCAAACAGGAUUAGAUACCCUGGUAGUCCACGCCGUAAACGAUGAGUGCUAAGUGUUAGGAGGUUUCCCGCCCCUUAGUGCUGCAGCUAACGCAUUAAGCACUCCGCCUGGGGAUACGGCCGCAAGGCUG
rnacentral:rRNA from 1 species